UUGUACCAUGUGCUAUGUUGUGGCCCAUUGUGGGUGUAGGGGGUUCUUCACUGUCAGACCUGUAACCGCAAAAAUCACAGCCUUGGCUGAGGCCCCUUCAUGUGUAUGUGAAGAUGUGCAACCCCAUCAGAGAGCGGCGUCCCAGCGUGCCUGAGAGAGGGUACUGCGGCCAGCAGGGCCUCUUUACCUGGCAACUCACAUGACUUUGUCCCCAGGUAUCACAAGAAUUUGUCCCUCAGCCUCCACAUAGGUUUUUGGGUAUUGUUAGUGGAAUUUCCACAACAUUCAAGUGUCUUCCUUCUGAAGCCAGGUGCUUAGGGAGAGAGUGGUGGAGGCAGUGGUGACCUCUAGGCCCAGAGACAGGAGCCUUCUGUGCCUGUGGCUCACGCCCUCCAGGUUCUUUCCCACAGCCGGUGGUCUCCCUGAGGGGUGCACAGUGCCAUCAAAGGGAGUCCCCUGGGCCAGCCAGUGCUCCUGUUGGUCCAUUUGGAAAUGCUGGUUGAGUAUUUGGGCUGUGUACAUGGUAAAGGGUAGGGGUGGAGGUGCUGCAAACAGGUGACUGAAGAGUAAGCCAGUAUGGAGGUGGGGUGACAAGGACAGAAGUGACCGAUCACAGAGGCCACAGCGGGGGGCAGGGCAGCAUCCAAGAGGCUCCCUUGUUAAAAAAGGACCCUUUCUUUGUGAAUGUACAGAUGGUGUCCACAUUCCCUGUCUGUCCCCUCCCAGCUGAGUGUCUCACUUGGCUGUGAACCUGGAGAGUUACACGGUCCCCCAGCUGUACGCUCCUACCCACUGUUGUGGUGAUAGCACUGUUUUACUUGGUGGCCUCGGUGCUGCCAUUCAGUCUGUGUUCCCCUGGCACUCUGUCCCUGUUCUCAGCUCUGCUUUGCAGGAUCUGGUGCUGAUGGCUUCUGGCAAGUCAUUUCCAUAAUGGUGGGGGCCACGACGUGAGUGCCCAAAUCCAGGUGACAUGAGUUCCCAUACUGGAACAAUUGGACCAGCCCGUCAGUAGAGAGACCUGGGAGCCUGCAGUUGGAACAACUCCAGCCCACAUGACGUGGCUUGGGAACCACUGGUAAAGGGGACGGGGUAUGAAGAUGUGAGAGCAUCAAGAUGGGAGGGGGGUGAGCCACCAGCUAGAGGUCAGGGGGAACAUCAGAUUCAAGUGACAGUUUAAUUUGUGCAGGUUGUACCCUAACAAGUUCCUAGAUCUCACUUCAAGUCCUCUUGCCUGUUCCCCCAAGGCACUGUGAUCAGUGGGGUUGGAAUUCAACUCCAGGCAGGUCCUGGCUGUGGCCUCCAGUACAAGACCAUGCCUUCUCAGUUGUGCUGAAAGAGGAUGAUGGAAUUCUGGAUUUCCUGUCAGUUUAAUCUAUUUCUUCUGUCACUGAAACUGGAAACAGCCAAUCAAAUCAUUCAUACACAGCCGGGCACUUUGGGGUCUGAAGUAGAGGAGUGGCACACGGCUAUUUGGAAUUGCAGAAAAUGUCACCCACAUGUCGGAGAGUGGUGGUGGGGCUGGAACUGGACCAGAGGAAAGGCCAGGGACACCAACGAGGUCAAGGCUGCAAGGACAAUGCAGGUGGGGGACAACAAUCCCCUGCCCCAAGGCCAUGGCCGAUGCAGCUCCCUGGGUCCACAACCCGGUGCUUGGCCGUGCCCUCAGCGGAGCCGCGCUCCCUGCACGGGGCCAGGCCGAACCCCCUCCUCUGAAUCUGGGCCGGGGUUUCUGGCGUCAGCGCGCAGGAGUCGGCAGAGGGACGCUCUGGCCGGUGCUGUGAGCGGAGGCCGGCAGAGGGCGCUGGCGCCCCGCGUUUGUGCCUCCGGGACGAACCUGUCCAGCUCCGGGGUCCUGCCGGCGGCGAGGGCCCAACGCCGGCCAGCCCUCUGCGCCUGCCUGGUCCAUGCCACCGGGCACGCUCUCAGCUGCCCUGGUCUUGGCCUGAACGUCUCGGAAUGGAAGGAACCACUUUGCCGCAGCCCGCGACUGAGCUAUGGUUCUUCCCACUGCUCAGAACUGGGCUUGACCAGGCCCUUAAAUCUUGACUACAUCUCAGAGAAAGGCACGCAUCUCACCAGUUUGCAGGUCUAGGCCAUGAUAAUAUAAUCAACAACAGAAAUCAAAUAAUACAAUGACUUCUGUGGAGUUCUAAUUAUUGACCUGGCUGGUCAGGAUCCUUCGUAGUGGAGUCAGGGCAGGUAGGCUGGGCCUCAGUUCAGCUCCCGGGAGGUG